rnacentral:snRNA from 1 species
ACUCAUGCCUGGCAGGGGAGAUACCAUUAUUGUAAAUGAUUUUCCCAGGGCAAGGCUCAUCUAUUGCACUCUGGAUGUGCUGACCCCUGUGAUUUCCCCAAAUGUGGGAAAAUCAACUGCCUAAGUAGGGGACUAUGUUUGCGGUUUCCCUGG